AAUGCAAAUCUAGCGGUAAUCUUGCUCGAAUAAGUUUGCACUUACUGGACAUCCGAAGCAAGCUUCUUCAGCAAAGAAAACCUUCUCGAAAGUUUUCUCUUAAUUCCCACCCAAGGCUCCAACCAGUCUGAACCCUUCCACGACGUUUCGAUUCAGCAGCCCGCCCAUUUGCUGUCUGGCCAACCAGUGUACUUCUCGCAAAAAUGGUUUGCGGACUGAUACUUUCAAAUAUUUUUUCAAUCUACACGGUUUUUUGCAGUACUAUUUAUUCUAGGGGACUUAUCUGCCUCUGGCACUAGGUCCUUCACUGCAAUGAGCUCUUCUGCUUCAUCAAUGAAGUCUCUUCCAUCAUCACCAUCACCACAACCACGUACACUGGCUUUUUCAUCAUCAAAAGCUAUUGGUACUAGCCGAGACUCCAUUUGUUUAUUUGAAAUGCAACAACCUUCAAAGAAAAAGCAAAGAAAAUGAUCAUCCUUGUAGAAAUUAUACAAACACCUUGUAGAAAUUAUACAAACAGCCGUUGGAAAACAAAAAAUUCCAGAUUUAAUUAAAAAAAUAAAUUCCAUUUCAAUUUUCACCAAACAAUUUGGACCAUCUAUUUUUUUUAAUCUGUAAAGCACCAAGACUGACUGGUGGAUGCAAAAAGGCACAUUACACAGGGCAACAGCUACUUAUCGUUACCAGCAAUCACUAAAAACCACAGCAGCAGCACACUUACCAGCAGCAUGUGUGAGGCAAUGACUUCAGUUAUGAUUUAAAGACAAACAACAAAUGGCAUUGUCAACAGAAAAAUACUCAAACAUAUCAAAGUUUAUGCAAUGAUACAGCUUAAAAAAGGAAAAUUAAAAAUGUUCUUUCAACACACUAAAUUUCAUUCCACACGUUAAUUCGCCCUUCUAAAGAUUAACCUCUUAUUUGCAAUUGAAUUAUCUGCCUUGUCAAUGUGCUACAUUGCUUAAAGAGAGUGCUUUAUGUUGGGUUCCUCCAACAUUAAAAGAAAUUCAACACAAUGUUGAAAACUUUCUCAUUGCUAAUUUUUAAAAUGGAUUUUCUGCUGAACCAAAAAGGAUGGCUGCUUCAAGUCAUGUGACCAUAAGGUUGGCCUUUUGUUCUGGAAGCUACCACCAGGAGUUACAAGAACAAAAGAAUUUCUCACUCAAUCUGUGGAAUUUCACAUCUUAUUGUACAGACCUCUUGUAAUCAACGAAAGCAGAGGAAGUGCAGGUGAACUGGUUCCCCAAUCAGAACUAUCACAAAAGAGAGAAAUCGAUCGUAACCAUUAUACUGGAAUAGAUGCUAAUAACCACCAGUCUCUCUCCUGAGGAGAAACAAUGGAAUUCUGGCCAGAAGCACAGAAACUGAUUGUUAAGCUCAAAUAACCAAUAUGGGAAGAUGUCACAUGACCCAAGCCUCUUGCCAUGUUGAACAAUUUUAACAUUACAUCUUUAGCCUCACACGCAGUCUGCUGUUUAACAUUCAACUGGUGAUCCACCAAGAAUGAGAACUCCAGCAAAACAACAGUCUCUCCCCAAGUUUGUCACUGCUGGAAGAUUCCCUACCAUCACCUGCAGAAGCAACCCAGUCUUAUGUACCUACUUCAUCUUGCAGUAUCAGCACCAACUGUGAAGUGAAUUCUACAAUUCCGGGCUUCAGCCAGCUGAACUCAAAUCCUACAUGAAAGAAUUCCUCAUUGGGCUCUGACUCUGGAAAUCAUGUGAACUAAUAUUCAUUUCUGUGGUUCUUAUACUGUUACUAUCCAUUGUUGUAAAACUCCUUUUCUUAUUAUUCCCCCAACUUUAGUGUGUGUGCACACGUGUGCGUGUGGUAGAGUGCGAAGUUGCAAACACUCCUCCCCCAGGUUUUGAAUGUAAAAUAAACUAACCUUCUGAGUUCAUCAUAA